AACAGGAUUAGAUACCCUGGUAGUCCACGCUGUAAACGAUGUCGAUUUGGAGGUUGUGCCCUUGAGGCGUGGCUUCCGGAGCUAACGCGUUAAAUCGACCGCCUGGGGAGUACGGCCGCAAGGUUAAAACUCAAAUGAAUUGUCGGGGGCCCGCACAAGCGGUGGAGCAUGUGGUUUAAUUCGAUGCAACGCGAAGAACCUUACCUACUCUUGACAUCCAGAGAACUUUCCAGAGAUGGAUUGGUGCCUUCGGGAACUCUGAGACAGGUGCUGCAUGGCUGUCGUCAGCUCGUGUUGUGAAAUGUUGGGUUAAGUCCCGCAACGAGCGCAACCCUUAUCCUUUGUUGCCAGCGGUUCGGCCGGGAACUCAAAGGAGACUGCCAGUGAUAAACUGGAGGAAGGUGGGGAUGACGUCAAGUCAUCAUGGCCCUUACGAGUAGGGCUACACACGUGCUACAAUGGCGUAUACAAAGAGAAGCGACCUCGCGAGAGCAAGCGGACCUCAUAAAGUACGUCGUAGUCCGGAUUGGAGUCUGCAACUCGACUCCAUGAAGUCGGAAUCGCUAGUAAUCGUAGAUCAGAAUGCUACGGUGAAUACGUUCCCGGGCCUUGUACACACCGCCCGUCACACCAUGGGAGUGGGUUGCAAAAGAAGUAGGUAGCUUAACCUUCGGGAGGGCGCUUACCACUUUGUGAUUCAUGACUGGGGUGAAGUCGUAACAAAGGUAACCGUAGGGGAACCUGCGGCUGGAUCACCUCCUU
rnacentral:rRNA from 1 species